GGGUUGUGAGGUUAAGCGACUAAGCGUACACGGUGGAUGCCCUGGCAGUCAGAGGCGAUGAAGGACGUGCUAAUCUGCGAUAAGCGCCGGUAAGGUGAUAUGAACCGUUAUAACCGGCGAUUUCCGAAUGGGGAAACCCAGUGUGACUCGUCACACUAUCAUUAACUGAAUCCAUAGGUUAAUGAGGCGAACCGGGGGAACUGAAACAUCUAAGUACCCCGAGGAAAAGAAAUCAACCGAGAUUCCCCCAGUAGCGGCGAGCGAACGGGGANNNNNNNNNNNNNNNNNNNNNNNNNNNNNNNNNNNNNNNNNNNNNNNNNNNNNNNNNNNNNNNNNNNNUGCUGUGAGCUCGAUGAGUAGGGCGGGACACGUGGUAUCCUGUCUGAAUAUGGGGGGACCAUCCUCCAAGGCUAAAUACUCCUGACUGACCGAUAGUGAACCAGUACCGUGAGGGAAAGGCGAAAAGAACCCCGGCGAGGGGAGUGAAAAAGAACCUGAAACCGUGUACGUACAAGCAGUGGGAGCNNNNNNNNNNNNNNNNNNNNNNNNNNNNGUGACUGCGUACCUUUUGUAUAAUGGGUCAGCGACUUAUAUUCUGUAGCAAGGUUAACCGAAUAGGGGAGCCGGAGGGAAACCGAGUCUUAAUUGGGCGUUAAGUUGCAGGGUAUAGACCCGAAACCCGGUGAUCUAGCCAUGGGCAGGUUGAAGGUUGGGUAACACUAACUGGAGGACCGAACCGACUAAUGUUGAAAAAUUAGCGGAUGACCUGUGGCUGGGGGUGAAAGGCCAAUCAAACCGGGAGAUAGCUGGUUCUCCCCGAAAGCUAUUUAGGUAGCGCCUCGUGAAUUCAUCUCCGGGGGUAGAGCACUGUUUCGGCUAGGGGGCCAUCCCGGCUUACCAACCCGAUGCAAACUGCGAAUACCGGAGAAUGUUAUCACGGGAGACACACGGCGGGUGCUAACGUCCGUCGUGAAGAGGGAAACAACCCAGACCGCCAGCUAAGGUCCCAAAGUCAUGGUUAAGUGGGAAACGAUGUGGGAAGGCCCAGACAGCCAGGAUGUUGGCUUAGAAGCAGCCAUCAUUUAAAGAAAGCGUAAUAGCUCACUGGUCGAGUCGGCCUGCGCGGAAGAUGUAACGGGGCUAAACCAUGCACCGAAGCUGCGGCAGCGACGCUGAUGCGUUGUUGGGUAGGGGAGCGUUCUGUAAGCCUGCGAAGGUGGCCUGUGAGGGUUGCUGGAGGUAUCAGAAGUGCGAAUGCUGACAUAAGUAACGAUAAAGCGGGUGAAAAGCCCGCUCGCCGGAAGACCAAGGGUUCCUGUCCAACGUUAAUCGGGGCAGGGUGAGUCGACCCCUAAGGCGAGGCCGAAAGGCGUAGUCGAUGGGAAACGGGUUAAUAUUCCCGUACUUGGUGUUACUGCGAAGGGGGGACGGAGAAGGCUAUGUUGGCCGGGCGACGGUUGUCCCGGUUUAAGCGUGUAGGUGUGUGUUCCAGGUAAAUCCGGUUCACUUUAACACUGAGGCGUGAUGACGAGGCACUACGGUGCUGAAGCAACAAAUGCCCUGCUUCCAGGAAAAGCCUCUAAGCAUCAGGUAACAUCAAAUCGUACCCCAAACCGACACAGGUGGUCAGGUAGAGAAUACCAAGGCGCUUGAGAGAACUCGGGUGAAGGAACUAGGCAAAAUGGUGCCGUAACUUCGGGAGAAGGCACGCUGACACGUAGGUGAAGUGAUUUACUCAUGGAGCUGAAGUCAGUCGAAGAUACCAGCUGGCUGCAACUGUUUAUUAAAAACACAGCACUGUGCAAACACGAAAGUGGACGUAUACGGUGUGACGCCUGCCCGGUGCCGGAAGGUUAAUUGAUGGGGUCAGCGCAAGCGAAGCUCCUGAUCGAAGCCCCGGUAAACGGCGGCCGUAACUAUAACGGUCCUAAGGUAGCGAAAUUCCUUGUCGGGUAAGUUCCGACCUGCACGAAUGGCGUAAUGAUGGCCAGGCUGUCUCCACCCGAGACUCAGUGAAAUUGAACUCGCUGUGAAGAUGCAGUGUACCCGCGGCAAGACGGAAAGACCCCGUGAACCUUUACUAUAGCUUGACACUGAACAUUGAGCCUUGAUGUGUAGGAUAGGUGGGAGGCUUUGAAGUGUGGACGCCAGUCUGCAUGGAGCCGGCCUUGAAAUACCACCCUUUAAUGUUUGAUGUUCUAACGUGGACCCGUGAUCCGGGUUGCGGACAGUGUCUGGUGGGUAGUUUGACUGGGGCGGUCUCCUCCUAAAGAGUAACGGAGGAGCACGAAGGUUGGCUAAUCCUGGUCGGACAUCAGGAGGUUAGUGCAAUGGCAUAAGCCAGCUUGACUGCGAGCGUGACGGCGCGAGCAGGUGCGAAAGCAGGUCAUAGUGAUCCGGUGGUUCUGAAUGGAAGGGCCAUCGCUCAACGGAUAAAAGGUACUCCGGGGAUAACAGGCUGAUACCGCCCAAGAGUUCAUAUCGACGGCGGUGUUUGGCACCUCGAUGUCGGCUCAUCACAUCCUGGGGCUGAAGUAGGUCCCAAGGGUAUGGCUGUUCGCCAUUUAAAGUGGUACGCGAGCUGGGUUUAGAACGUCGUGAGACAGUUCGGUCCCUAUCUGCCGUGGGCGCUGGAGAACUGAGGGGGGCUGCUCCUAGUACGAGAGGACCGGAGUGGACGCAUCACUGGUGUUCGGGUUGUCAUGCCAAUGGCACUGCCCGGUAGCUAAAUGCGGAAGAGAUAAGUGCUGAAAGCAUCUAAGCACGAAACUUGCCCCGAGAUGAGUUCUCCCUGAGACUUAGAGUCUCCUGAAGGAACGUUGAAGACGACGACGUUGAUAGGCCGGGUGUGUAAGCGCAGCGAUGCGUUGAGCUAACCGGUACUAAUGAACCGUGAGGCUUAACCUUACAACGCCGAAG
rnacentral:rRNA from 1 species